rnacentral:rRNA from 1 species
UACGAAGGGUGCUAGCGUUGCUCGGAAUUACUGGGCGUAAAGGGCGCGUAGGCGGCUAUUUAAGUCGGGGGUGAAAGCCCAGGGCUCAACCCUGGAACAGCCUUCGAUACUGGAUAUCUUGAGUACGGGAGAGGUGUGUGGAACUCCGAGUGUAGAGGUGAAAUUCGUAGAUAUUCGGAAGAACACCAGUGGCGAAGGCGACACACUGGCCCGUUACUGACGCUGAGGCGCGAAAGCGUGGGGAGCAAACAGG